rnacentral:rRNA from 1 species
GACGAACGCUGGCGGCGUGCCUAAUACAUGCAAGUCGAGCGAAGUUUUUCUGGUGCUUGCACUAGAAAAACUUAGCGGCGAACGGGUGAGUAACACGUAAAGAACCUGCCUCAUAGACUGGGACAACUAUUGGAAACGAUAGCUAAUACCGGAUAACAGCAUUAACUGCAUGGUUGAUGUUUAAAAGUUGGUUUUGCUAACACUAUGAGAUGGCUUUGCGGUGCAUUAGCUAGUUGGUGGGGUAAAGGCCUACCAAGGCGACGAUGCAUAGCCGACCUGAGAGGGUAAUCGGCCACACUGGGACUGAGACACGGCCCAGACUCCUACGGGAGGCAGCAGUAGGGAAUCUUCCGCAAUGGGCGAAAGCCUGACGGAGCAACGCCGCGUGAGUGAAGAAGGAUUUCGGUUCGUAAAGCUCUGUUGUUAGGGAAGAAUGAUUGUGUAGUAACUAUACACAGUAGAGACGGUACCUAACCAGAAAGCCACGGCUAACUACGUG